UACGUAGGGCGCAAGCGUUGUCCGGAAUUAUUGGGCGUAAAGAGCUCGUAGGCGGCUUGUCACGUCGGAUGUGAAAGCCCGGGGCUUAACUCCGGGUCUGCAUUCGAUACGGGCUGGCUAGAGUGUGGUAGGGGAGAUUGGAAUUCCUGGUGUAGCGGUGAAAUGCGCAGAUAUCAGGAGGAACACCGGUGGCGAAGGCGGAUCUCUGGGCCAUUACUGACGCUGAGGAGCGAAAGCGUGGGGAGCGAACAGG
rnacentral:rRNA from 1 species